GUGCUCACUUCCGCAGCACACAUACUAGAAUUGGAACAAUACAGAGAAGAUUAACAUGGCCCCUGCACAAGGAUGACACACAAAUUUGAGAAGUGUUCCAUAUUUUU
rnacentral:snRNA from 1 species